GACGAACGCUGGCGGCGUGCCUAAUGCAUGCAAGUAGAACGCUGAAGGAGGAGCUUGCUCUUCUGGAUGAGUUGCGAACGGGUGAGUAACGCGUAGGUAACCUGCCUGGUAGCGGGGGAUAACCCUUGGAAACGAUAGCUAAUACUGCAUAAGAGUAGAUGUUGCAUGACAUUUACUUAAAAGGUGCAUUUGCAUCACUACCAGAUGGCCCUGCGUUGUAUUAGCUAGUUGGUGGGGUCACGGCUUACCAAGGAGACGAUACAUAGCUGACCGGAGAGGAUGAGCAGCCAGACUGAGAGGGAGACACGGCACAGUGGGCUACAGGAGGCAGCAGGAGGGAAACGGGGGCAAGGGGCGGAAGUCAGUGCGAGCAACGCCACAGGAGGGAGGAGGGAUGUCGGAUCGGAAAGCACGGUUGUAAGGGAAGAACGAGCUUGAGAGUGGAAAGUACACACUGUGACGGUACCUGAACAGAAAGGAACGGCUAACUACGUG
rnacentral:rRNA from 1 species